rnacentral:rRNA from 1 species
UAGAGUUUGAUCAUGGCUCAGGAUGAACGCUAGCGACAGGCUUAACACAUGCAAGUCGAGGGGCAGCGGGGAGGUAGCAAUACUUCCGCCGGCGACCGGCGCACGGGUGAGUAACACGUAUGGAACCUGCCCGUAGCAGGGGGAUAAACGGAAGAAAUUCCGUCUAAUACCGCGUAAUAACUCCGAGAGGCAUCUCAUGGAGUUUAAAGGGUAACACCGGCUACGGAUGGCCAUGCGGCGCAUUAGCUAGUUGGCGGGGUAACGGCCCACCAAGGCGACGAUGCGUAGGGGUUCUGAGAGGAAGGUCCCCCACACUGGUACUGAGACACGGACCAGACUCCUACGGGAGGCAGCAGUGAGGAAUAUUGGUCAAUGGGCGCGAGCCUGAACCAGCCAAGUCGCGUGAGGGAAGACGGUCCUAUGGAUUGUAAACCUCUUUUGUCGGGGAGCAAAAGACGCCACGUGUGGCGUUCCGAGAGUACCCGAAGAAAAAGCAUCGGCUAACUCCGUGCCAGCAGCCGCGGUAAUACGGAGGAUGCGAGCGUUAUCCGGAUUUAUUGGGUUUAAAGGGUGCGCAGGCGGAAGAUCAAGUCAGCGGUAAAAUUGAGAGGCUCAACCUCUUCGAGCCGUUGAAACUGGUUUUCUUGAGUGAGCGAGAAGUAUGCGGAAUGCGUGGUGUAGCGGUGAAAUGCAUAGAUAUCACGCAGAACUCCGAUUGCGAAGGCAGCAUACCGGCGCUCAACUGACGCUCAUGCACGAAAGUGUGGGUAUCGAACAGGAUUAGAUACCCUGGUAGUCCACACAGUAAACGAUGAAUACUAAUUGUUCGGGGAGAAUGAUCCCUGAGUGAUACAGCGAAAGCGUUAAGUAUUCCACCUGGGGAGUACGCCGGCAACGGUGAAACUCAAAGGAAUUGACGGGGGCCCGCACAAGCGGAGGAACAUGUGGUUUAAUUCGAUGAUACACGAGGAACCUUACCCGGGCUCAAACGACACAGGAAUACUUUUGAAAGGAGGUAGCUCUACGGAGUCUGUGUCGAGGUGCUGCAUGGUUGUCGUCAGCUCGUGCCGUGAGGUGUCGGCUUAAGUGCCAUAACGAGCGCAACCCCCAUCGCCAGUUACCAGCAAGUCAAGUUGGGGACUCUGGCGAGACUGCCGGCGCAAGCUGUGAGGAAGGCGGGGAUGACGUCAAAUCAGCACGGCCCUUACGUCCGGGGCGACACACGUGUUACAAUGGCAGGUACAGAGAGAAGCAAUGCGGCGACGCAAAGCGGAACUUGAAAGCCUGUCUCAGUUCGGAUUGGAGUCUGCAACUCGACUCCAUGAAGCUGGAUUCGCUAGUAAUCGCGCAUCAGCCAUGGCGCGGUGAAUACGUUCCCGGGCCUUGUACACACCGCCCGUCAAGCCAUGGAAGCCGGGAGUGCCUGAAGUGUGCAACCGCAAGGAGCGCCCUAAGGUAAAACUGGUGACUGGGGCUAAGUCGUAACAAGGUAACCGUAA